UCCGGCCACAUCACGUUGAAACGCAGGUUCCAAUAUGAUCACCGAAGUUAGGCAACGUCGAGCCUGGUCAAUACCUAGAUGGGUGACCACUUGGGAAUACCAGGUGCUGUAAU